CCCCAACGGCUUACCAAACCUAACCAAACUCCGAAUACCGAGGAGUACUAGAUGGCAGACACACUGCGGGUGCUAAGGUCCGUAGUGGAGAGGGAAACAGCCCUGACCGCCAGCUAAGGUCCCUAAGUUAUCACUAAGUGGGAAACGAUGUGGGAGUGCUUAGACAACCAGGAGGUUGGCUUAGAAGCAGCCAUCCUUUAAAGAAAGCGUAACAGCUCACUGGUCAAGCGCUCCUGCGCGGAAAAUGUAACGGGGCUUAAGUGAUACACCGAAGCUGCGGGCUCGAAAGAGCGGUAGCGGAGCGUUCUGUAAGUCUGCGAAGGGCAGGUGCGAGCCUGCUUGGAGAUAUCAGAAGUGAGAAUGCUGACAUGAGUAGCGAUAAAGAGGGUGAGAGACCCUCUCGCCGAAAGUCCAAGGGUUCCUGCGCAAUGCUAAUCAGCGCAGGGUAAGCCGGCCCCUAAGGCGAGGCCGAAAGGCGUAGUCGAUGGGAACCAGGUUAAUAUUCCUGGGCCAGCGGGUAGUGACGGAUUCCGGACUUUGUUCAUCCUUACUGGAUUGGGUGGGCAAUAAAGGCGUCCCUGGAAAUAGCUCCCGCAUUAGACCGUACCCCAAACCGACACAGGUGGACUGGUAGAGCAUACCAAGGCGCUUGAGAGAACUCUGCUGAAGGAACUCGGCAAAUUACUCCCGUAAGUUCGCGAGAAGGGAGCCUGGCGUCGGGCAACCGAUGUCCAGGGGCACAGACCAGGGGGUGGCGACUGUUUACUAAAAACACAGGGCUCUGCGAAGUCGCAAGACGACGUAUAGGGUCUGACGCCUGCCCGGUGCCGGAAGGUUAAAAGGAGGAGUGAGAGCUCCGAAUUGAAGCCCCGGUAAACGGCGGCCGUAACUAUAACGGUCCUAAGGUAGCGAAAUUCCUUGUCGGGUAAGUUCCGACCUGCACGAAUGGCGUAACGACUUCCCCACUGUCUCCAGCAUAGACUCAGUGAAAUUGAACUCUCCGUGAAGAUGCGGAGUACCCGUGGUCAGACGGAAAGACCCCGUGCACCUUUACUACAGCUUCGCAGUGGUAUUAGGGGUGUGUUGUGUAGGAUAGGUGGGAGACUAUGAAGCAGUGCCGCCAGGUAUUGUGGAGUCAUCCUUGAAAUACCACCCUAUAUACCUUUGAUAUCUAACCGCGGCCCGUGAAACCGGGUCCGGGACAUUGCGUGGCGGGUAGUUUGACUGGGGCGGUCGCCU
rnacentral:rRNA from 1 species